UACCUUUUACCUUUACCACAGA
rnacentral:miRNA from 1 species